rnacentral:rRNA from 1 species
AGCGAACGCUGGCGGCAGGCCUAACACAUGCAAGUCGAACGAACCCUUCGGGGUUAGUGGCGGACGGGGGAGGAACACGUGGGAAGGGGCCGUUAGGUGCGGAAUAAUUCAGGUAAACGUGGGCUAAUACCGAAUGAGCCAUUCGGGGGAAAGAUUUAUCGCCUUUGGAGCGGCCCGCGUCCGUUUAGCUAGUUGGUUGAGGUAAUGGCUCACCAAGGCGACGAUCAGGACCUGGUCUGUGAGGAUGAUCCGGCACAUUGGUACUGAGACACGGCCCACACUCCUACGGGAGGCAGCAGUGGGGAAUCUUGCGCAAUGGGCGAAAGCCUGACGCAGCCAUGCCGCGUGAAUCCUGAAGGUCUUAGGAUUGUACAAUUCUUUCACCGGGGACGAUAAUGACGGUACCCGGAGAAGAAGCCCCGGCUAACUUCGUG